AAAAUGUGCUAGGGGGGCCAGUAUAUGCUGGCUGAGAUAAGGGACUAUAUCCCUUGACUCUUAUACCUGAUCUGGUUAAUACCAGCGUAGGAAAGCGUUAAUAAUAUUAA
rnacentral:ncRNA from 1 species